CUGCCCUCAAGCACGGCUUGUGUGUUGGGCCGCCGUCCCGGGGGACUUUUCUCCCCCGCGGGACGGGCCCGAAAGGCAGCGGCGGCACCGUGUCCGGUCCUCGAGCGUAUGGGGCUCUGUCACCCGCUCUGGUAGGCCCGGCCAGCGCGCCAGCCCUUCUCAACCAUUUUUGUUCUUUCUCCA
rnacentral:misc_RNA from 1 species